rnacentral:misc_RNA from 1 species
AAGUCGAAACAAGGUUUCCGUAGGUGAACCUGCGGAAGGAUCAUUAACACGUAUCCAACGUUAAACCCCCUGUGAAUUUUAAGUCCUGCUCCGGAAUCUUUUCAAACAGCAAUCCCAGUAAAUCAUUGUUGAACAGUUUUGAUUUGGGACCUCUGCAGAUUGUGAUAUUUUAUAGCUACGGUUGAGCGAUUGCAUCUAGUGACCUGGCAUCCCCAAGUAAUCAGUGUUCUGAAAGUGUCAUUGAUUGUGUAAGGAUGGCGCAGUCACGAUCGCUGUAGGCCCACACGGCCGGCGACCGGGUCACCGGGCUCUGCUCCUUUACGACAACUACAGUCUAACUUCGCCGCGCGUGAAAUUCGCACGGCACCAAAAACCGAACAACUGUUAACAAUGGAUAUCUUGGUUCUC